rnacentral:rRNA from 1 species
AUGGAAGAAUUGGGUUUGAGGGAGGAGGAUCUGGAUGACGUCGUGUUCGACGAGAGCGAAGCUCCACCGGAGGCGAUUAGAUGGAUUGCAUUGGCUAGGGUUCACUCAACCAAAACCUAUAGUCAGUACUGGUUUUUCAAGAAUACGAGGGCCGCUUGGGAUCUGGCGAGAGAGGUGAAAUUCAAACCCCUGGAAGAUAAUCUGUACACUAUUCAAUUCUCGUGCUUAGGUGAUUGGGAGCGGGUUACCCUAGAUGGCCCAUGGCACUUCAGGGGAGACGCGGUGAUCAUCAAACGUAUGAUGGCCUGGUGA